rfam:Ovis aries breed Texel chromosome 3, whole genome shotgun sequence.
UCCCAGGUGGCUUAGUGAUAAAGAAUCUGCCUGCAAUGCAGGUGACACAAGAGAUGUGGGUUCGAUUCCUGAGCUGGGAA